rnacentral:lncRNA from 1 species
AAAAACCAUCAAAUUGAAAUUUCUUCUCUCAGUGUACAAAUACGAAUAUCAGCUUAUACAGUACAUCAGAUAGUAAUGUAAAAGAAAGUGAAAAUGUACUUAAAACUUUUAAUAAAUCAAAAUCAAAAUCAAUUCAUCUCUGUACCGAUUACUGAUCAGGGUUCAGUUGGCCGGAGUUGGAGUUCGAUGUGGAGUUUGAGUAAUUCUUUUUCCCAAAUCCAUCACCCACUGACAUGACUCUACUAGCUGAUUUCAACAGAAUCCUGGCUAUCCUAAUCUUCACCUCUCCUCUCCUUGGAGGAAGAAGAACACUCUGUUUUGGUUCCAUCUUCUUCCUCCUUGCUUCUUUUACAGAACAGGAUAGAGUUUAAUGGGAUAGGCAGGCGG